CCCCAAUGUACAUCUGUUUUGAAUUGCUCUUCUAUAAUCUGACAUCUGUCCCUGAUCGGCUCGAAGAAGAACCACAUCUGGAUAACUUUCUAGAUUUUGAUUUGUUUAUAGGCUUGUUGUGGCUCUCCCCGUUUUCCACUGGUACGAUCCGGCACCUCGUCACAGUGAGAAGGAACAAGAGUGUCCUGUCUCAACCCGCUGUGAAACAAAGGCUGCUGUUAUUAGUUCUAACAAAAUGGUCUUUGUGUCAAAAGCAGAACCGUGUGGAACAAGCUGUAGAUGACGUCUCAACCUAUUCGCUCGUAUGUUAAUUGGCCUAAAUCGAAGCACAAGAAACAAAGCAACAAAAUGUUCUUCCACUGAAUCUCAGACGUCAUGAAGAUGAUCAGCUCCAAACGUUCUGCCGAUAGAAAAUCGAUAACCAACCCGACUUCACGUUUUCUCUUCGUUGAACUUUGUGCCUCGUACCGACGUUUGAGUAGAUCUCAGUCGUGUCUUUGAGUAGAUUUGAUGUGGAACUAGAAACAAACAUAUUCACAAUAUUACAUUUCUACAAUUCUCUCAAAGUGAAAAUCAAAGGGGUUUCUUCCUCAGUGAAUUUGAUGAAGACGUUUCUCUAUACUUGUUUCUGUUCGUGUAUUUAUUUGGUGUAUUUGCAGUUAACAUAUCGUGGCUGAGGACAGAGAGGAGUUUUUAUCUUCAAUCAUAGUUUUGUCUAAAAGUUCUUUAUACAAACGCUGUGUGAAAGGUCGAAGAAUGUAACAACACGUGUGGUGGAGAGCUUUCCUGAUGCUAAGAACGUGGCUGGUUUAACUGGUGCAGAGAUGGUUUGAUUGGGGCAGAGAUGGUUUGAUUGGUGCAGAGAUGGUUUGAUUGGUGCAGAGAUGGUUUGAUUGGUGCAGAGAUGGUUUGAUUGGUGCAGAGAUGGUUUGAUUGGUGCAGAGAUGGUUUGAUUGGUGCAGAGAUGGUUGGAUUGGUGCAGAGAUGGUUUGAUUGGUGCAGAGGUUCGACUGUCAGCCACACGUGCCUUUGUGUCCUGCUGGGAGGAAACGCUCAGAAACCAGUCUGAUUUGAACUGGUUUCCUCUGAUGUUUGGAGCUGAACACAGGUCUUGUACAUAUCAAGUGUAAAACGACACUUUCAAAGCACCGACUCAGAAUUUCAGCCGCUGUCUUUUCCUGGAGCUGCCGCUCAAACAAGCACAAAGAUUAACCAGCGGGUGCAAAACCAGAUUUCAGAUUUACUAAGACAAGACGUGUGAUUCCGACGUCUGCACGGAACUCUUAGUUUCUCUUUUAUUUUAAGUUCUGCAAAAAAAAGUUUUUUUAGCCACAAUCAUCCUGUGUUAAUCAUCAGUUCUAAUUUCAUUGGUAAAUCAGUGGAUGUUUUAAUAACACUUUAUUACAUUGAUGUUACAUCUAGAUGUGUUUUGAUUUGAUAUGGAUGAUUUUAUAUUUUUCAGUAAUUUCGAGGAUUUUAAACCAGGAACAAAACCAAACACGAACAAACAACAAACCUCAGCAGAGUUUUAUGAUCCAGUUAUUCCUCUGUAUGAUAUUUGAUCUGGAGACACAUGAACAACAGACGCAUGAACAACAGACGCUCGUUCGAUCUGUAAAAACAGACGAUCUGAUUUGAAUGUGAAGAAGCAGAAACCCUUUGAUCUCCUGGUUGCCUUGGUUACUGAGCACCAUACGACUGGCCCCGCCCACAGCCAGAAUCUGACGGGACCUGAACCCAUCCCGGCUCGGAGCAGAGAGCAGAAGACCCAGGUUGUGUUUGGAUGGUGAAUGAUUUCUGAUGAACAUGGAACAGAGUGUGACGUGUGGGAAAGGGUUCGAUUCCUGCCGACUGCAGAAAGAGGCCUGAGCGGUGUGUUGAUGGAAACAGGGAUGUGUGUGUCUGUGCAUCAAACGCUGCUCCACUAUAACAGCUGCAUAUUGUAUCAACACUUAUCAGAAGUCAAACUGCCAGACGAGAGCCACUCUCUUACGUCACCACAUUUUUUCUGUAGACAACUUCCUGUUAUUCCGUUUUUACUACACAACGCUUCGUAUAUUGACACAUUUUCAUCUUGUUGAAAAAGAAAGAAAAAAGCAUGGACCCGGCCUCGGAGCCGCGGCCCAGUGAGCUCUGCUUGUACGUGCAUGUGAACCUUUGAAUUCUCCUGUAGUCGCUCCAGACUCUACAUAGAAAUGCUAUUUUAAGAGUAUAUUCCGAAGCUGUGGUGUGAGGAGGCACAUGUAGCCUGGCUGUGCUGUGCAGUGAUUCCUUCAUUACUCCUCAUCUCUCGUUUUAGGUGCAACACUCUCGUUAUCGCUUCUCAAGGUCAAAAGAAAACUGAUUUGUUGUGUAAAGGGAAAAUCGUGUGAUGACCAAUAAAAACAUUUACUGAA